CUACGGGCGGCUCCAGUGGGGAAUAUUGCACAAUGGGCGCAAGCCUGAUGCAGCCAUGCCGCGUGUAUGAAGAGGGCCUUCGGGUUGUAAAGUACUUUCAGCGGGGAGGAAGGGAGUAAAGUUAAUACCUUUGCUCAUUGACGUUACCCGCAGAAGAAGCACCGGCUAACUCCGUGCCGGCAGCCGCGGUAAUACGGAGGGUGCAAGCGUUAAUCGGAAUUACUGGGCGUAAAGCGCACGCAGGCGGUUUGUUAAGUCAGAUGUGAAAUCCCCGGGCUCAACCUGGGAACUGCAUCUGAUACUGGCAAGCUUGAGUCUCGUAGAGGGGGGUAGAAUUCCAGGUGUAGCGGUGAAAUGCGUAGAGAUCUGGAGGAAUACCGGUGGCGAAGGCGGCCCCCUGGACGAAGACUGACGCUCAGGUGCGAAAGCGUGGGGAGCAAACAGGAUUAGAUACCCCGGUAGUC
rnacentral:rRNA from 1 species